rnacentral:rRNA from 1 species
ACCCGCUGAACUUAAGCAUAUCAAUAAGCGGAGGAAAAGAAACCAACAGGGAUUGCCUCAGUAACGGCGAGUGAAGCGGCAACAGCUCAAAUUUGAAAUCUGGCCUCACGGUCCGAGUUGUAAUUUGUAGAGGAUGCUUUUGGCGAGGUGCUUUCCGAGUUCCCUGGAACGGGACGCCAUAGAGGGUGAGAGCCCCGUACGGUAAGACCACCGAGCCUCUGUAAAGCUCCUUCGACGAGUCGAGUAGUUUGGGAAUGCUGCUCUAAAUGGGAGGUGUACGUCUUCUAAAGCUAAAUACCGGCCAGAGACCGAUAGCGCACAAGUAGAGUGAUCGAAAGAUGAAAAGCACUUUGAAAAGAGGGUUAAAGAGUACGUGAAAUUGUUGAAAGGGAAGCAUUCAUGACCAGGCUUGGGCUUGGUUGAACAUCCGGCGUUCUCGCCGGUGCACUCUGCCAGUCCAGGCCAGCAUCAGUUUGCCCCGGGGGACAAAGGCGGUGGGAAUGUGGCUCCCUUCGGGGAGUGUUAUAGCCCGCCGUGUAAUGCCCUGGGGCGGACUGAGGAACGCGCUUCGGCACGGAUGCUGGCGUAAUGGUCAUCAAUGACCCGUCUUGAAACACGGACAAGGAG